AUGCUGGAUGCAUGUGUAGCUGACGCCGUCAGCGCCAUGCCAGCAGCCUGGAUCUCAGGGCUGCCGCGGGACACGUCCUGCGCGAUCCACCAGUCCGCUUCGCAUCGGUCCGCGGACGAGCGCCCUCGUGGCGUCGAUGC
rfam:Acidovorax citrulli AAC00-1, complete genome.